ACAACUUGCAAUGAGCCAGCCAUUUCUGAAAGAUGUGUAAAAGCAUCACAAAGAACACUACAACACCUGUGUGUUACUCCUCCCUCCCUUCGCCACGUCACUAACAAGCCCUACAAGCCCUCUUCCUCUGAACUUCCGCAACUCUCCGUUAAUCCACCAUCUGUACGGCAUCUAUCAGCUCAGUGGCAUCACCACCAACAAUCUUAGUGAGCAGCACUGAGCGUGAAGCAUAGCCUGGAGCUUCCACUCAAGGUCAACUCAAAACCUCCAUGGUAAGACACCUUGAAUAAUUUGGAAUUUUUUUAAGAUAUCUAUAGCUGUCAUGCUCCAAUCUACAUAGCUUAUAGAGUCUAAUUUUUUUCUAUACUGAUAGCUAGUUGAGCAAAUAUAAUAUGCCAAACUGUAUAAUACAUAUAUAUUUCAAUAAAUUCAGUAGUCCUGAAUAGCCA
rnacentral:lncRNA from 1 species